GUCGAACGAGAGAGAGGAAGCUUGCUUCCUCAAUCGAGUGGCGAACGGGUGAGUAUCGCGUGAGGAACCUGCCUCAAAGAGGGGGACAACAGUUGGAAACGACUGCUAAUACCGCAUAAGCCCACAGCUCGGCAUCGAGCAGAGGGAAAAGGAGCAAUCCGCUUUGAGAUGGCCUCGCGUCCGAUUAGCUAGUUGGUGAGGUAACGGCCCACCAAGGCGACGAUCGGUAGCCGGACUGAGAGGUUGAACGGCCACAUUGGGACUGAGACACGGCCCAGACUCCUACGGGAGGCAGCAGUGGGGAAUAUUGCACAAUGGGGGAAACCCUGAUGCAGCGACGCCGCGUGGAGGAAGAAGGUCUUCGGAUUGUAAACUCCUGUUGUUGAGGAAGAUAAUGACGGUACUCAACAAGGAAGUGACGGCUAACUACGUGCCAGCAGCCGCGGUAAAACGUAGGUCACAAGCGUUGUCCGGAAUUACUGGGUGUAAAGGGAGCGCAGGCGGGAGAACAAGUUGGAAGUGAAAUCCAUGGGCUCAACCCAUGAACUGCUUUCAAAACUGUUUUUCUUGAGUAGUGCAGAGGUAGGCGGAAUUCCCGGUGUAGCGGUGGAAUGCGUAGAUAUCGGGAGGAACACCAGUGGCGAAGGCGGCCUACUGGGCACCAACUGACGCUGAGGCUCGAAAGUGUGGGUAGCAAACAGGAUUAGAUACCCUGGUAGUCCACACCGUAAACGAUGAUUACUAGGUGUUGGAGGAUUGACCCCUUCAGUGCCGCAGUUAAC
rnacentral:rRNA from 1 species